rnacentral:rRNA from 1 species
CAGAUUGAACGCUGGCGGCAGGCCUAACGCAUGCAAGUCGAGCGGAUGAAGAGAGCUUGCUCUCUGAUUCAGCGGCGGACGGGUGAGUAAUGCCUAGGAAUNUGCNUGAUAGUGGGGGACAACGUUUUGAAAGGAACGCUAAUACCGCAUACGUCNUACGGGAGAAAGCAGGGGACCUUCGGGCCUUGCGCUAUCAGAUGAGCCUAGGUCGGAUUAGNUAGUUGGUGAGGUAACGGCUCACCAAGGCGACGAUCCGUAANUGGUNUGAGAGGAUGAUCAGUCACACUGGAANUGAGACCCGGUCCAGACUCNUACGGGAGGCAGCAGUGGGGAAUAUUGGACAAUGGGNGAAAGCCCGAUCCAGCCAUGCCGCGUGUGUGAAGAAGGUAUUCGGAUUGUAAAGCACUUUAAGNUGGGAGGAAGGGCAUUAACAUAAUACGUUNGUGUUUUGACGUUANNGACNGAAUAAGCACCGGNUAACUUCGUGCCAGCAGCCGCGGUAAAAG